rnacentral:pre_miRNA from 1 species
UUUUGUGGAUGAGCGAAGAAAGUACUUUCUCGAGAUGGAAUGUACUCCUGAUGAAGAUACUGUGAA